rnacentral:lncRNA from 1 species
AAAGCGAUGAAGCUGAUGCACUGUACUUGCCUGGUGUUGUCGAAGCCGAUGAUGCGGACAUAGGCGCCAGGGUAUUCCUUCUUGACCUCCUCCAACUCCUUGAGCACCUGCGUGGCGUCAGUGCACCCGAACAUGGGAAGCUUCCACAUUGUCCAGUACCUCCCGUCCUAGUACCCUGGGGAGUUGCCGUGCUCACGGAAGACGAAACCGACCUUGCUGAACUCGAGGCAAGGAACCCAUUUGGAGCGGAUGAGAUACUCGAUCUGCUUCAGGAGGGACUCCACGGUGAGAGGUGGCAGGUAGGAAAGGGUCUCGAACUUCUUGAUGCCCUCAAUUGGCCACACCUGCAAUUAGAUUAAAAUUAGCACACAAAGUGUGAUUUGAGACACAUAUCGAUGGAGUAUUUCACUUCACACAUAUCGGUAUGAUGAUAUACAUACCUGCAUGCUCGUGAUCCUGCCACCGUUGGAGACGCUGCCGAGGCCAGCGCCGGCAGAGCGGCGGCUGACGGGGAGCCCGGCGGUGGACUUGAGGCCCCGGAAAGGAGCAACAGCGGUAGCCGCCGCCGACAUCACUGUCGGACCCAUAGCAUCCACCCUUGUAUCACUAGAGUAUAUCUACUUAGCUAAUAUGCUAAGUUUGGCACGGAGAGAGGAGGUCGAGUGGACUUCAUUCCUGGUCACAAGGGUUUAUAUAUACCAUAUAACAUACGAGCAAUUUGUGAUUAAUUUGUUGUCGUUCUAGGAGAUGUGGAAAGGGUGGAUGCCGUUCGUUGGUUGCCUUAUCCGUUCUAGAGAAGGGAUGGAUGACCGACGCUCGCUCAGCCGUCUCCUUCGUCCAUCGUUGCCAAUCUUUCUAGCUAUAAUUGGAAGUUCCAAAGGAACAUACGGUUUCAUGCCUACUUCCAUCGGCCUAUCAUGUACCAAUCCAAUAAAAGGACAUCGUUCAACCAUCAAUCCAUGUGUGUGUAGUAAGUGAUUGGCUACGAACCUUCAGCUGACUUGCUUUAUUGGAUAUUUCUGUAAAGCGAGUCCACGGUGUGUGGGUUUAAAAUCUCGUGGCGGCAACUGUUGACGGGUGCAAAUAUCAGUAGCCUUAAAACAAUAAACUUUACUCCGUCCCUUCCGAAAUGCAAGAAUGUCCUAAGUCAAACUUCUUAUGCUGCAGGACCAUAGUUUUUGAGGUGUUCUUCUCACGAGUCCACGAAGAACGGGAAUUUUUUGGUGUCGGGUAAGGGCGGGGGAAUAUAUAGAUGCUAGCAUCAGCAUGACGGGCUAACGGGUCAGGUAGGAUUUUGGACGACGUAGCACCUGACAUGUGGGGGCCACAUGUAAGAAAACCUGUCAAAAUGUCAUAACCCUCUGUUUUGGUCAACUUGAUACAAUCUGAUACAAAACGUGUGGUUUUCCUGACAAAUUAGCAAAUUUUGUGUCUCUGUGAGAAGCACGCCCCAAAAACUGUGGUUCCGUGAAAUUUAUUCACUAGUUACACUUUAUCUACAAACAUCUACGAUUCUAAAAUAGUUUGGUAUAUAUUUUCCGUAAUAUAAUUAUUUGAUAUUCUAAAUUCGGGGAUUUGUUCUUAUAAACUUGGUCGAAGUUUAAAAAGUUUGACUUCGGACAAAGUUACGACUUUUUACAUUUAGGAAUGAAGGGAAUACAUUUUAGUAAAGCAAUUGAGGAAUUGACAGAAUUAAAUAUCUUAAAUUAUACUGGUCCAUCGUGUACUCAUGGCAACAAAAUAAAUUUAUAGUCGAAAAGUUGGACCAUGAAAACUUAAAACGUGAUACAUUAAAAUUGUUGAAUCACUCUACAUCUUGUAAUUUUCUCUUGCAACCUUCUGGCGCGCUACUCAUUCCACAUUUGGUACUAUAUGUAUAAAUGUAUAUAUAUACCGCAUUAGGAGCCUCUAUUACUGUUUUAGUAUAAAUAGCAGUUUCCAUCGACUAUGCACUUCAUUAACUUUUUCUUCACGAGAUAACUUGCUUAUCGAUUUUCUUUAAUUAUCCAGAUGGCUUCUACUAGUUUGUUUCCUUGCUUACUGGGAUUUCCGCAGACUUUACGGUUAGGUAUUAUUGUCGUGUGGACAACACGGUGGCCGGAUGUUGAGAUGAUGAUGUCCUUUAUCUCCGUGUUGCUUCUGAGGACUGCGGAUCCGAGGCUAGUGGCGGUAUGGGAUGCCUCUCUACCUCUUGAUCAGGUCAAUCCGGCUCAGCAAGAGGCGGAUCGAUGGUGGCCGGUGUGACUAGAAGCGGGGAGGUAUAUAUGAAACGUUUCUUGCUUCCAGCAUCUCUUCUAGCGGUAUAUAUGUCGUCAGCUGGUUGAGGGAUUGAUGGCAAUCGAUCAUGGCUACGAUGACAUGUAUACGCGCCGGUAGGAACACAUAUCAGGCAAUGUCGAUGCACCUGCAUUGGGCCCUUGCUGAAGGUGGUGGUGCGUAUGGCAGUCUAAAGAUUUAAGACACAAAUUUAGACUUAAAACUUAAAUAAUCAAUUUGUGCCAGCGGGAAACACACAAACACGUACCGGUAAAUUAUCAUAAUCAGAAUUUGUCGACGAAUUUGAUAUUCUUUUACAAAAUAUACUUAUCUUAAUAUGUAUAACCGGAGUUUAUAUUACAUGCCCCUCUCCCAACGAUAGUUGUAGUACUCUUAUAAUAGUAGUACUCAUGAAUACAGUUAAUCCGGGUUGUUGGGAGAGAUCACAUGCAUAAAUACAACAUGAAACAAACGUGUGAAAAAGGUACAUAAAAUCGGUGUGACCCGUUCUUGUAUUAUAAGAAAUCAACUUGCUUAGGCCUUGCCGGACUCCUCACAACCCGGUGGCUUGAAGGCGAUGAAGCUGAUGCACUGCACUUGCCUGGUGUUGUCGAAGCCGAUGAUGCGGACAUAGGCGUCAGGGUACUCCUUCUUCACCUCCUCCAGCUCCUUUAGCACCUGCGUGGCGUCGGUGCACCCGAACAUGGGAAGCUUCCACAUUGUCCAGUACCUGCCGUCGUAGUACCCGGGAGAGUUGCCGUGCUCACGGAAGACGAAACCGACCUUGCUGAACUCGAGGCAAGGAACCCACUUGGAGCGGAUGAGAUACUCGAUCUGCUUCAAGAGGGACUCCACGGUGAGAGGCGGCAGGUAGGAAAGGGUUUCGAACUUCUUGAUGCCCUCAAUUGGCCACACCUACAAUUAGAUUAAUAAUUAGCACCGAAAGUAUAAUUUGAGACACAUAUCAGUAUUUCACUUCAACAUAUGUACAUGAUGACAUACAUACCUGCAUGCACCUGAUCCUUCCACCGUUGGAGACGCUGCCGAGACCAGCGCUGGCUGAGCGGCGGCCGAUGGGGAGCCCGGCGGUGGACUUGAGGCCCUGGAAAGGAGCAACGGCAGUAGCCGCUGACGACAUCACUGUGGGAGCCAUCGUACACGUACGUAGAUAGCUAACAAGAGGAGGCAGGCUUGCUUGAGUGCUCUCUAGCUACAGCGGCUUAUAUAACUGUAGGCUCCCCACCCAUCCAAUAUCAGCACAAGAUCUAGGAGGGGUGGCUGCAGUUCGCCGCGCGGAUUUGCCCAGGCCACGCUGGCAUCCUACGGAUCAGGUCGGGCGCCACAUGGCCGCACGAAAUGGCGCGCGUUAUCCUCUGGACGGAUACAAUUGGCUGCAACGCACUCUGCAAAUCAUGCCAUGAAGUGACCAAUUUUCACCUAUCAGGAUAGAUCCAAUGUGCCACGGCAUGCACUCAAAAACAGAACUUGCUAAUCCCUCCAAUCCAUAAAAAAUCUCGCCCACUUAUUAGAAAAUUUGUAAUGAGUUAAUGCAAAAUGAGCAGCACUUUUUAUGAACUAGAGGAACAACAAAUUAAGAGAAACUCUUCUAAGAUCUUAUCGAGAACGAAGCUUGCCCCCGCGUCGCUCAGUCUGGGGCGACACGGGCGGCAACCACACCAGCCCCGGCAGCAGCCUCUCCCCGUCCUCUCCUCCCCCUCGCCGCCGCCGGGCAAAGCCCGCACGGGGACGGCGGCGGCGGGGCUGUUUUUCUUGGCGGGGGUGUCCUAGAGCUCUUGGCUGAGGCGUUUGAGGUGCUGCCUCAUCGUGGUCGCGGCGUCUCCGGCCCGAUCCGGCAGGCUAUGCCUCGUCUUCGGCUAGAUCCGGCCGGCUUCCUCCCGGAUCCGGUGUUUCCCCUCGUUCUUCCUCUCCCUGGUGCUCGGUCUGCUCGUGGCUGCGCGGCUUCACGGCGGCGCUCUUCGGCCGGAUCUAGCUACUCGUUGGCCAGAUCCGUCAUCUCCUCCGGCUGAUCCGGCAUGUCCCAGGUCUCUUCGUUUCCAUCAUUUUUCCUCUCAGUUUGGUGAGGCGGCUGAUUGAACUUCACCGGCGGCAGAUGGGCUGCUGCUGCGGCCAUACAUGGUCCAAGUCGGUCCUUUUCGAUGCCAUGGUGGCGUGGUUUUCAUUUUCGGUCGCGUCUUCGGCUGCUGCCCGUGUGCGAGGUAUGGACGUCGGCUCCGGUGUUUGGAGUGUUGCUCUGGAUGAAAACUGCCCGUGUGCGAGGUAUGCCGAAGACAACGAUGUUGUAGCGCCGUUUUCCUUCUUGGAGGUGUCGUCGAAGAGCUUCACUUUCCCUCACUUUGAUGUUUGGUGUCUUCGGGUGAAAACCUAAGAUUUGGCUAUGGCCAGAUCGGGCGACAACGGCGUUUUUACGUCGAUUUCCUCCUUGGGGGCGUUGUCAUGGAGACAACGACUCUUGGUGGCAUCGGGUGGUGUGGUCCGUCUAUGGUGGAGCUUGUUGUCUCGAGUUGUUGAAGGUUUGGUGGUGUCUCUUCUUGUGUCAUGUGUUAGCUUAGGCUGUCGGUUUGUGUCCGGCGAGAACGUGCGUUUCUUAUCCUUUGGUGCGGUUUCGGCAUGUGAUGCCUUUCGUCUUCACUAUCGUCACGUAGGUGUCGUGUUGUAUUCUCGGUGGUGUGUGGUCUUUCGGCUUAGCCAACGGCAAGUGGAGGUAUGAUCUCGGUUGUGUAUUGCCCUUCGACUUCAUCGGCGGCACAUCGGCGUCGCGGUGGGUCUCAGUGACGCGCAGCCCUUCGACUCUGCCGGCUACGUAGGUGUCAUGGUGCGGCCUUGACCCUGUGCUUCCCUUCAGCUACGGCGACGACAUAGUGUCUGGGUGGGCUCGUCAGAUCGACGCCUUUCGACUACAUCAACUAUGCUCUUCAUUGUGCAUUUAUUUUGCCAUUGACAUGUUUCAAGAGUCUAGGUUUUUUCCUUGUGUUUCUUUUAGCAAAUGCUGUUCUGCAGGCUGGCUUUUGCCCACCCGAUCAGAAAAGAAAAACAAAUUAAAGGCUAAAAUCAAGCGAUGUUAUAUUCCCUUAGCUAUUACAAAUAUGGAUGAUAAGAGUUAUUUAUCCUUUUUCAACGAGUAACCCUUUACUUGGAAGUUCCAUGUGCAUGGCGCUGCAAGAAAACAAACAUCAUAAUGGGGCAAGACUUUUUUUUUUAUAAACAUCCAAUUUGGGUUAAAGUCUGAAAGAAUUUGGCUAUCUGAACUUUCAGUUUCCACAUUCUUUUACCUACUCAAUUCUUCAGCCAACAGGAUCAAUGGCGACCUACUAACACCAACCAGAACACAUGGGUCACAAACACGAAAAAGGGCUAGAAGGCUACUUAUACACACUCAUGUGUACUGCGAGCAAAAGAACAUAAUGUACAAAACUUUACAAAAUCUAGGGAAUUAAGACCUUCCCGUAUGCUGUUGCUGCCGCUGCUGCUUCAUGCUGGCUCUCCUGGCAACAUCCCAUGGUUUGUGAGGCACACCUACACCUUGCUGGGAUGCGAAGAACGACUCGUAUCCCGGGGAGUCGAAAGCAAAACCAGUGUGCUUGGAGUUCUCUCGAGGGAGCAUGGAGAUCGCAUAGCUUCUUGCUUCUUCUGGGCUCAAAUGGCUCCUCUCAGGCAGAUGUAUCAUGCUGUAUUCGUGGGGGUCAUCCUUGUGCAUCUCCUGGAUUACUUGGUAGUCAUAGGGAAAGAGCCAUCUUUGGAGCCUGAGAAAGCACACAGCAUCAAAGACAACAAUUGAUUCAGCUACUUCAGUAUGUACAAUGGAAGGAAUAACAAACGGAUGGCAUUAACAAACAUAUAAUUUUGCAAAAGAGCUGGUAUCUUACGAUAGAUACAGGAAAUCACCAAAGAGAGCGAUGACUGGAGCAAGCAUUAGUGUGAGGUAGAAGAAAAAGGUACUCAUCAGAACAUAAAUCACAAAAUAUACAUUUUCCUGCACAAGGUACACAGCAUUAAGUCAAUGCAUUUGUAGCAAGUAAUCGUCAUCAGCAGUGUAAUAGCUACAUUAUUCACCCACCUGUCGGUCAAAUGAUGUCAUUAUCGCAGAAUAUAUGAAGAUAAACAGAAACCAGGCCGCUAUACUGCCAGCUACGCUGAAAUAAUGCCAUCUCGUGAUAGAAUUGCACGACAUGAGGAGACGUAGAUUAACAGUCACCACAACACAAGUAAAGGCCAUCGUGCUAACAUCCCAUUGACCAAGAAUCUUGCCAGAUGAACCGUGACCAUGCUGACUUGCAGCUGCAGUAAAGUAAUAGAACACUAUUGACUGGUAGAAGGCAAAGAAACCCCACACCGCAAUCACUUUCCACCGGAAGAAUGUGUUCCUAAUUCCUUCUUGGUAAAGUUGUGGGUAUUUUUUUGAUAGAGAUGCACUCACAUCCUGAAAGGGUUCAGUUUAGUGAAUGUAGCAAGGAGCGUCACUCCAGAACAAGAAAAGUAGAACAAAUACAAGCAACCAUACCUUAUCAAACAACCCAACCAUAAUUACAGGUAGUGCCGUGAAAAUGACAUUAUACAGAGACUGGAACCAGUCAUCAUAAAAUCGCUGACCAGAAAAGCCAGUUUGGAAAGUGAACCAGAACUGAGUUAGUGUAAAAGUCAGAUUCUUGUAGAAGAAGUAUGUGAUAACCUGAAACAGAAAGUGUCAAUGUUAAAAAAAUUAAACUACACAGAUUGGCAGCUACAAGCUAAGGGACCAAAGCAUACCUUGCACAAUCUCAAGUAUGACCACCGCCCAUGUACAAGAAGUAAAUCCGUAAGAUAUCGAAACUGAGCAAUGGCAAAAUCACUCGCCAUAACAGCUUGCAUUCCUUCUUGUCCGCUGAUGCCAAUACCAACAUGAGCAGCUUGAAUCAUACUCACAUCAUUAGCACCAUCACCAAUACUGAGAGUUAUCUUACGUGCACCUUUCCUAACUAAACUUGCAACCUACAAAUGUGUCAACAUUACAUGUUUUGGCAUCAUUCGAACCCAACAGGUUAUUAGGAAAUAAAUCCAAAAAUAAGAGACUUUGAGAUUGCUGAUGGGAUGGGUAACAACCAAAUAAGCACAUAUACAAUAAGUUAAUUAAUACUACCUUUGUUUCAAAAUAUUAUACCAAAACGUCUUAUAUUUUGAAACAGAGAUAGUACUUAUAGUACAAGAGUGUACAGGACAUUUAGUUAAGAGGCCAAAACUAGAAUAGCAAAAGCAACCAAUGCACAGUGGUUAAUAAUGAUCUUGUGAAUCAUGCACAAACUAUUUUGUUGUCAAGGUACAAAAUUGGAUCCUUUAAAAUGUAAUAAUAUCAAUAUCCCCCGUUUAUUGCCCAAGCAUCCUGAAAGGCAUGCAGCUGAGAGCUGCAGACCAUACUGCUAAUUAUUUCAUGGGAAAAGGCAAGGCAUGCAUGAUAAGAACGCUAAAAGCGAGAAUUGAUAUUUACCUGUGCCUUUUGCAGUGGAGAAACUCGACAACAUACAACUGAUUGGCAAAUUAAACUCAAACCAAGAAGAUUCACACGCAGAGCUGGGUCUAGAGCGUACAUCAAGCAUCGUCCAUCAAUAAUGAAAGCCAACUUUCGUCCUGGCGUGCUCCUCAAAGAACGGUGGGCUUCCUCAAGGUAACUUCUCAGACUCUGUUUUACCGAGUCUUUGAUAACACGUGCAAUUUCCACAGGGUCUCCCUGAAAAUGACUGGAACAUUAUUCAUGGCAAAGAUAUGUGCAUAAGUUGAUUUACAUCAAUCAGAUACAAAUGCUAAAUUGCUAAUUAUGGUUGAUCAAACUGCAAAACACACGAGAUAUCCAAAAGGCUAUAUAAACAUGAUGGAGAGGCUAAAGCACUGAAACAACAGAAUCAACAUAAAGUAUUUUGUACUAUUAUGCAACUAAGCCUUUUGUCCCAAGCAAGUUGGGGCAGGCUAGAUAUGAAACCCAAACAGAAACUAAAGCAAAGUGCAGGUAACAAAAGAGCAAGAGAGUAAAUCAAGGUUCAGGCACAUGGACUGCUGAUUUCCAUGCAGCCCUAUCAAAAGCAAAAUCUCUAGAUACAUUCCAGUCCUUCAAGUCCCUUUAACUGCCUCCUACCAAAAGCAAAUAUCAUAGUAAUCCACCAACCAAAGUAACAAGGGAACUACUUGUAACUUCUUAGUUCACAAGUACAUACCAGUUGAGCUAUCCAAUUAUUCUAAAUAAUAUGGUUUGAUACCUUUACCAAAGUCUCAACUUGUAUUCAUUUUAAAGCUUAUACAAGAUAUUAUAUGUUAUGGCUUAACAGUCUCCAUGACACAAUAUGGCUUGACUUCACAGUUUAAUUCUAUAGGAUUAUCUUACCCUGUCUUCAGCAUCUCUAAUUGCAUCUGUCUCAGAAGUGAUGAUGAAUUGUUUUGUAUCGUUAUUCACCAGGCUGCACGCUGCAGAGCAAAAACUAAAUAACUUCAGAAGCUUUUCUAUGUCAGGUGAAAGAGAGAGAAAAAGACCGCCCGCCCCCCACCAAUAAUCCAAAACUGAGCUUCUAUUAGACCCCUUAAGAACGAAACAAGCAUGCAAAUUGAUCUAUAUAUAAUUAAAACCUCACCAUAUGCUAUAUUAAUUGCUGUUUCCAUUUUAUCUCCAGUUAGCACCCAAAUUUUUAUGCCAGCUGCAGAAAGAGUUUCAAUGCAGGCUGGAACCCCUUCUUGCAGUUUGUCUUCUAUUGCAGUGCACCCUAUCAAUAUAAGGUCCUUUUCAAUCAACUCAGCCACCUACAGGGGAAGAAACAGAAGGAAAUUAUAUGGCAAUGUCCCAGCAAUAUCUUAAAUCAGAAUAUACAUUAAGUCUAUUACUUCAAAUUCCUUUUUCCUAGAAAUCACAGUGAACUUAGUACAUGAAAGAAUGAAAGGAUAAUGCUUUUCUAAUGGGGAUUUGAAAAAACAUCAUAAAAAUAAUAAUAUAAAGUACUGUAUGUUCUUGUUCUAGAUAAAUUACAAAUAUCUUUUGCUCAUGAUCCUCUUUCCUGACUAAAAAAUAUAUAUUAUUAUGUAAAAUACUAAUGUUCUAUGGCAGUACAAGAUAAUAAAUUAGCACAAAAAACUAUUAAACUGCAAAUGUCAGCUGUUAGGGAUGGAUGACAUGACUCCUGUAGUUUUGGGGGGAGAGAGAGAGGAGACACACUGAACAAAUUACUUCCUUCGUCUCCAAAGAUUGCCAUGCCACAUUCUAUUCGGUCAGUCAACCUUUUACAACUUCAAAAUUAACAAUUAUAAGUGAAUUGAAUUACUACAUGAAAAAUAACAGCACUCAAUUUGCUUGCAUAAUAAUUUGUACGCAAAACUUUUGCUUGUAUAUUAGCAUAGAAAUCAUAGCCAGAGUUUUAUGUUGGGAGAAUAUAAAAUUAAAAAAUGGCCUACAUUUGUCAGGUACAUUCAGUUAAUUGUUUCCAAAACCAAAUUAAUUUUCAUACAUAAAUACCAAACGGAUCAAUAGCAUGCUCAACAGUGCACAUGAGACUCGAGUUCAGUACUGGAUGACAGAAAGUAAAAAAAAUCAGGCAAGCACUAGAAGGUGGAGGGGAAGUAAUCGAAAUUCAAAUCACAGGGACUGUUCAGCCUGUAUACUCAACAGAAGAGGAUGGUACACAUACCUCAUCAAGCUUCUUAUCACGAUCUCGUAAAGAAGAUUUAGCUUGAACAAACUUCUCAUUCCAGCUUUCGUACUGCUCCCUGCUUAGAUCUCGAUAAGCAAGGCAAAGCGUGCGCAAGCCAGCAGAGCCAAAUUGUUCUAGAUGUUCUCUGCUUGUCUUUUUAAUGUCAUGAUUUCCAUCAGCUAACCGUUCAAAAAUGACAUUAUCAGCGCCCUGUUACACAACAUUUGUAUAAGGUUAGUGCAUCAAUCUACAAAGUGAUAGCUACAUAAAGAUUCUUUUUUCUUGUAUUACCUUGCAAUACAGAACAAGUUUUCCAUUUGGGAAACGGCAAACCACAGAUUGGCGCUUUCUUGUACUGUGAGUGCAGUAAAGUGUGAAGUGCAGAACAAUGAUUUCAUCUUGUCAAAUUUAAAUUGAAAACAGAUAAACCAGACCUGUUGAAUUCCAAAACAUUCAGAAUUUCAUAUGCAACAUCUUGUAUACUCCCCAUCCUCUCAACAUGUGAUUCCCGAACCAAGACUGUGGUUGGCGUACGUCUACAAGACAGGCACAAAAUGUCAACCACCGGCAUUGCCAUUCACAAUAAAAAUGCCACAUGAAAUAAUUUGCAACAAAAAUCAUAAGAACUUAGAUGAGUUCAUGUUCACAGCACUUGCUUUAACACUUGUCUUAAUUUACAACGGCAAUUUUUUGUUGAUGGGCUAAUAGUUUAUUUAUGCUUCUUAGUAUGUACAUUCAGUCCUUCAUACAACAAACUAUAUAAGCAAUAACCUGGGUGAGUGACUCUUUUAUGCACAUUUUCCUUGGGACCAUAGCAUAGUUUUUUAAGAUACCUUGUUUGCAACAAACUGAUAAGAGGAAUCUAUAACUGUAUUUAAAGGCAAGGUAAGACAUGCCUAUAAAAGAAGAAACCAAAAUUCUUCGCAGCAGCGACAAGCGCGGCCUCGUCGGGAGAGGCAGCUUGAUAAGUAAUCUUUUCCGGUGUCUCCUCACCCUCAGGAAGAACUGUAUGACAGAUUGCAAGGCAUCUGCAGAAUUGCUAUAGAGCAAAUAACAAAGUUGUUACACAACUAGCACAUUAACAAGGGAAAAUGUGAAAAAGGAAAAUAGGUUCCAAAUUUUAUUAGUAAGGGCAUAUAUCGUGAUAUGUGAAUAAUUUGUGUCAACUAAAUCAAAACUGAUUAUGACCAAAGGGGAACCAAUCGAACUAUUCCACAGGUAGUCCCGUAUUUACCACGCAAGCAUCAGGAUUAGGUUCAUUUCUCCAUGCACCACGCAUUAUUCUAGCAUCAUCAAAGUUGAAUCCUUUCUCAUGAACUGCAGUGGCUGAUCUUUUACCCUAAAAAAGGCAAGUAAACUGGAUAUUAAAUCAGUUGUGCAUUAAAUUUUUCAUCAUAUACCACCACACUUCAAUAGCGUAAACAACAAAGAAAAUGUUGUAGACCUCAUCAUCAUCAAUCUUGACUCCGGCUCGCUCGGCUCCUCCUUUUUCAAUCUCUGUGAUGCCAGUUCCAUAUAUUUCCCCUCCAAUCGAACAUUUAAAGAAUUCCAUCAAGUUUCUUGUAAGUGUUCCAGUUUUGUCAGAAAAUAUAUACUCAACCUGAACCAUUAGUGGGGCAAAAAAAAUUUGGCAGAAAUGUCAAAUUAUUUGCAAGUGUUAAGUGCAUUUUAGUACCACUCGGCAUUUGUUCAGUCAUAUAAGCAUUUCUGGGGAUCUAGAACAGUUUUUCGGUGGGAGUAAGUCACUUAAUAUUAGUGAAAUGAGACUGUUCCCCAAGUGCUUAUAAUUGAUCCCACUUUCUGGAAUGAGUCGGUGCAGUGAGGUCAUUCUAUCCAUUAACCAAACCCAGCCAUAUAGGUCAAAUAAGUAAAUAACCCCAUUUCAGCAACAAACAAAGGGGCUUUCAUCAAACUAAACAGAAUGCUAAGGAACAAAAAAAAAACUGAUAUUACCUGCCCAAGCUCCUCAUUCAGAUUAGAAGUCCGAGCCAAAGCUGGGGUGUUGCUCUCGGCAUGAUACAUAUUCAGAUCAUUGUUAAUAAACUUUGCACACUGAAUGAAUUUGAUCAUCUGCCAGCCAAAAUAAACAUAAGGUCCAAUCCAAAUACAGGGUACACUAAAUGAUAAAUUGGUCAAUAUACCUCAAUGGAUACAUAAAGAGAAAUGGGGAUGAUCGUUGAGUAUAGAGUUAUUAGAGUAAACAUAGUUAAAAUGGUCACCUGCAAAAGUACAAACCUAUGAUAUAAGGCCACUUAGAGAAUAUUCUCUACAAUAAAUUAACUAAAAUAAUAUAUACCACAAAUCUGUUCUUGGGAUUAAACUGGUCCUCGACACGCCCACGCAAUCCAAGAUAGAAGUAUUUCUCAUUAAUAAACACGCCACUGUUCACAAAAGCCAAGUAUGAUGAGUCCAUUGGUAGAGUUUUAGGUUUCUAAAGAACGUGCAAGCUAAGCAGUCAUAGUUACCAAAAUCUAUAUGCUGAACAGAGCACUUCCAUUUCUGACCAUCUAGAAAGUGCCCUAUUAUGUACCUCCCACAUAAAACCACUAAGAAAAAAGAUAAGGCUAUUAAGACCUAGUCAUGUGCUCAUCUAUACUGCUCCUAUGCCACAAUAAAAAAAUAACUUCCCCAAACAAGCUCCUGACAACUCAUGUCAUAAUGUUUAAAGUUUAUCUCUCUAUUAACAGUUGUUUUUUCAUGAUCAAUUAAAUUGUGAAAAAUGAUUGUGCAAGCAUAAGCCUCCACAACAUCAACCUAACCGAUAUAACUCAUGUUCAGAGAAUAUACAUGUAAACAAUAAUACAAGAUAGAUAAGUCAAAUAAAUGAAGUGGGCCAAAUAAAACACUGACCUUCCAAUAGCACCAAUGACACACAUCGUAAAGAGGGUUGCAAAUAGAGCAAGAAUAAGCUUGUCUAGUUUCUUCUCCAAUGUACUUCUUUUAGAGGGAACAUUCAUAGAAUUCAUCAUAACCUGCAAUAGUGUCCCACUGCAGUAAAUCUCAAAACUAGAAGCACAUCUAACCUACAAGUUGAAUAUAUAGGGACACAAAAUUGCACAUACUUUCGUCUCAUGGCCCGUGAAUAUAACAGCCGCGACAAUGUACUCUGUAUUACGAAGGCUGCAUCCCUGUGGCAAAGUGGUAAUAAGAGGUUGCAUGUGUGCCACAUAAAGAGAGAGAAUUAAGUGUCAUGCAAGACACCGUUCAGUCUGGUGAAAGUAAACAUUUCUUUUGCACUUUACAAACAUUGCUUCAACCCUUCACCACUUAUCCUACAUAUGGGACUAGAGAAGAAAUGGAAGUUGUUUAUAUGAAUGUUAAACAUUUCCAAAUUGUUUAUAUCAUAGCUAUCCUUGUUUGCAAACCAAUAAGAACAAUAUUAUUAUAGAGGUGUUUUAUGAUGAAAAUUUCUGCUGGUGACAUUUGGGUGUCGUCAAUAUUGGUAUUUGGAGGAGAUGUUGGUGAUCAAAGUUAAAGGCCGAGUAAAGGCAUCACGCUAUGAUGUUAUUUUUUACCUGAGGGAUUUUCUUAACAAACUCAUGCUAAAUCUAGAACAUGCAAACAACUUUGCAGGUGGACAAUCUUGUAAAGAAAUUUCAAGGGCAUGUUUGUGUGAGGGGUAUUACUUUGGUACGUGUUGGUAACUACAUACCUAAUUGUUACAAGAAAAAUCUCAUCCAAACAAGCCCUAAGGACAUUAUGGACCUUGCUACUGCAAAGUUGGUAAGUCGAAAAUACGACAGGAUGUCUGAUUGAUAUGUAGGACCUGGACCCACAUGUCAUUCUCACAGCGAGUCGCACUAUUUCAAAUGUCAACUUUGUGGUGGCAUGGUUUCAAUUUUCCCAAUAAGAAACUAGAUACAAAUAGCAUAGAUGAACAGCACUUACCCUUAGUAGUAUUUGAUUUGGUGAAAUUGGUAUAGUUUGCUUGUCCACAAUAAGGUUCCCGGUAAAUGUAUAAAGUGAAUUGUUUGGCUGUUCGCAUUGUAUUUCACCUGUAAGCCAUGAAACAUACAGAUAAUGUGAAGUUAAGAAAAUGUAGAAUAGUUAAGUGAAGUUCAGAAAAGGAGCAAUGCUUCCUACACCAACUACCGAAAAAUGUCUGCAACAUGGAACAAGAAUAGAUAAAAACCUUUGAAUUCAGAAGCCUUUUCAGGAAUUACGCAGUCCCAGGUUUUCUCCAAAGCCUUCCUUAUUUUCAGGUUAGUUUCCCCAUCAAGAUUUGCUGUCUAAGGUAAAUAGAAGUAUGAUACACUUCAAUUAAAACAGAGUUUCUCUAAAUCAUUCAAUAAUUUCAAUUUGGACAAAAGAUGGAGAAGGUAAGAAUGAAUAUAUUGACCUCUAUGUAGCAGACACCAUCAGGGUUCGUACUUGAUAGGAAGAGCAAGUCAGAAGGAAAGUAAGUGUCUUGCUUGAUCUGCUCUAAAGAAGUGCCAUCACUAUUAGUCUUUUUGGAUAUGUGUAUCGAGCUGAAGAUUAAAUUUGCACAGCACAAAAGAUCAAGUGCAUUAAUUUGUGGAAGCAACAGAUCAAUUGAAUUGAUCAUCAAAUUGCUAUCAGGAAAGAUGAAGACAUUACCCUCACAAUAUCUCCAACCUGCAGUCUUUUCCAAGGGGCACUUUCCCAUUUUUGACCUUGCAAUACAUCGACGUGCGCAUUAUUAAUUGACAUGUCAUUCUGGAAACGUUUCUGUAUAAUGGGAGGCAAACAAAAAGGGAAGAAUAUCAGAUAACAUUAAGAAUAGCAAUAAAAUAGUGGAGCAACAGAGCAUGAGAGCAAUACUAACCCAGUCCUCAAAAGCUUCCUUGAUGAGUGAAACCAAAAGCACUAAACUAAGUGGAACCACAUUGGUGACAGGGUGGACUGGACUGCGAAGAUACAAGCAUGUAUGAACUAAGAUUUCUAGAAGUAAAGGUGAAGGAAAGCAAAGGAUGACUGAAUCAACUGAUGGACUUGAUAUGCUAAGAAGUGUCUAGCUGUAACAUGAGAAUUCCAUAGGGUGCAUGCAUGAGAGAGAGAGAGAGACCUAAUUGGUGUAGUCGACAAGAUUGAAAUCAUAAGAAAGUAAAGAUUUGCCACCCGUCUGAACUGUCAAAGCAAAAAAAAAAACAAAUGAAUUACAAAAGGUUCCUAUGGUCAAAUUGCGAUAAUACAGAAAGGGAACAUCUAAAUCGGUGUUACAGCUACCAUUGCAAAGUUUCUUUAUUCGAUAUGGAAAAAUGCAUUACAUGUUUAAUGUAUGAAGCCAUUGAAAUACUUUAAUGUACCUUACGUAAAAAACAGUGGAUAAUGAAAUUGCCAGAAUUAUGGUAUCGCAUAAAAUGAAGGUUACAUUGAGCGAAAAGCAUGAUCAGGGCUUUACCAAAUAACAAAAUCAUACUUCUCCUUUUCUCAAUAUAUGGCAUUUUAGGUUUCAUUGAAGACAAGUCUUUGAAAAGGAUUUACUUUGUGUUGUUUUUAAGGCAUGAAAUUUAUAUCACUAGAUUCAUCCUCAAAAGUACUUAAUGUGGAUUCAUAUCAUAUAAAUCACAUAUUAAUGAAGUAAUUCUUGGUCAAAGUCUUGUAUUAACGAAACCUAAUAUGUCCUGUAUUGACAAAAUGAGGGAGUAUAUUAUCUAACAGUGCAUGUAUACAGGCACGAUACUGGUAGCGCGUAUUACAAGCAAGGUAUCUUAAAAACAUUGCAACACAGUGCCAGACCAGGUAAGCAACUAAGCAUCUCAUGUAUCCACUAUUUUAAGGGAAGUUGAUCCAGAGUGAGGAAAUAAACAUUUUUAAGGAGAUAUAUCAAUUUGCAAUGUGAAAAUGAUACGGAGUAGUAUAAUCAUUUCACUGUGAUAACAAAUACUCCCUCCGUUCUAAAUACUUGUCGCUGUUUUAGUGCAAACUAAAACAGCGACAAGUAUUUAGGAACAGAGGGAGUAACUUCCAUUUACCGUUAGACAUGAUACAAAAUAAUAUGUUGAAAAAAAAUCUAGCCAAAAACUAAAAAACAAACAGAAAAUCUGCAUUAAACGAUGACAAACCCAGCAGGUAUGUUGAUUAACAAAAUAUGUAUGAACAAAAAACAACGCAUCAAUACCUGUUCAAACAAUCCUUUAGGUAGAAAUGUCAGCACACUGUACUUUGUAGUCGACACAGAAUUUCCCUGGAAAUGUAGAAUGAGAAUGUUAAAGAACUAAUUCUAGCAGAAAAACAAAGUAGCGCUCUGCAUUAGAAUCGCGAUGGUCUGAUACCCAACAUGAGGGAGAUUCUGAAACUAAACAGAAGAGCUAAUUGCAACUAGAAGCAUGAAAAAAGUAUAGCUUGAUCUUUUUACAACAUCAAGUCUGAAUACAUUCAAGCAUUUACACUAACUUGGAACAAAAUGUGGGUGUCAAAGAAAAUGCAUGAAUACACCUACUUACAAUAAAGCACCAAUUUUGCAGUGAUUGGACAAACUAUGGUUAAAAUACUUAAUAAUAGAGUUCUACGUAUUUGGAGGCAUAAAACGCAUUGCAGUUGGAGCAGUGGCAUUAUCAUGUUAGUCAGUCUAACAUGGCAGUGAAUGACGUGAAUUUUUUGCUAGUUUAGACCUCUGGCCAGCGCAAUUGACAAAAAUGCCCCCCUCUCAAAACUAAUGCCAAAAAUGGUCUGGCAGAAGGCCCGAAAGGCGCCACAUUUCAUUUUUCGCCAUCUGAGCUGCGCAUGCAAACAUUCCGACAACCUGAAAGGCGGAAAGGCCGUUCCGCCUACUGCAUUUGAUGAAUGCACCUGACAAGGGCGGAAGGUGAACUGGGCCCUGCAGAUGGAAGCAAUUUCCACAUUUGUUACAGACCUGGAAUCUUUUUUUUUGUUGGAGUCGACGGACCAUGUAUGUGCGGAUGCAUAGGAAUCGGCAAGCAGCCUAGCUGCUAGUUCACGGGCACGUUUUACAUUUUCUUUCCUCAGGUUUGGCUAGUGCUACCACGUUGAUACUAAUCAACGCUUCUUGUGAAUGGGCUUAGUUGCUUCUACUAGUCGUGCGAGCGUUAAUCUUUUCUCUGUGCGCCUGCAUGUGCGGGCGUGGGAAUCGGGUCAGGUCCCUGCAGACAGCACGCCUGGCUGCACUGGGCCUGCUUCAGCUUCCGCCCCUGAAAAUUCACUUUCGUCCAUUUCAACUGGAAACAAGUAGGCUCCACCUGUCCUGUUGGCGGAAAGUUCAUUCCUCCUACCCAGUGGCCACUGGGUCAGUUGCUGGGCUUUCCACCACGUCAUUUUUCAAAUUAUAUUUCAGAUGGAGCUAUUUUUGCCAAUUCCGUUUGACAAGGGGCUACAAGAGCAAAGAAAUUGAAUGACAUAGCAAGCAAUCAAUUUCCCCUUAUAGGUAAAUAAUAAACAGCUUUGCUUCAGCUUACUGUCAUCAGCUGGUGGCUGACUGCCCUGACCAAACACAAGUUCAGUAAUCUACACAGCAAGCGGCACACAGGUGCAGCUAAGCACAUGGAUGAACAGAAUAUUCCAGCCAUUGAGGCUCAGCUCUCGAAGCUUAAUGCCAGGUGGCAUCUACAUUGUAUUGCAGCCCGUAGCACCCUGAUUGACUAGUAACCCAACAAUGAGACAAGCUCUAAUCCACCCAAUGACCUCACAGUUGGCAAGAAAUGCAGCCCUUAGUGACACGCACCACCCUACAUAACUUUCUCGUGGACUAAUCAGUAUGAAUCAUAUAAACCCUCUGCAAGCUGCAGUGAAAUAAAACUACUACUACUGAACUAGCUAUUGUCCCAGAUGGCCAUCUCCAACCCAACCGCCCAAGCAUGAAACAAGGGGCCAGUUACGAGAUCUAGGCCUACAGACCCCUAGACCUUGAGACAACCGACCUGUUGAUCAUCCGAAUUAGAGGAGGAGGUGCACACCCGUACCUUGUACCCGACCGGCGCGUUGGCUUCGCGGUCGUUGCAGUAGAUGGUGCGCACGGUGGGUGCCUGCGGCUGCGGCUGCCGUCGGAGGCUGCCGCCCCCGCCGCCGAGACGCGCCGUCCUGGACGCCUCAGCGCGGCCGGCCUGAGAGGUCCCCCCCCGCGGCGACUGCUCGCCGCCCAGCCGCGCGGUGGCAACCCGCAUCAUCUCCUUUAUGCGCGAGCUCAUCCUGCCCCCCUCAGCGCCAAACCCAGCGCUGGAGGAGCCGGCGGGAGAUCUGGGGAAACCUCACGGUGGAUCGGAGGGGAGACCUAGUCGGAUUUGCGCGGCUUUCUGGUGGAUUUCAGUGCCUCGCUGAGGAGGGGAUUCGAUUUGGGUCACGCGUUCCCGUAUGUGCGUAUUUUUUCCGUGUAAUUUUUUUGUUUUGCCUUUUUCUUUUCCUUUGGCUCCGGGAGAAGAGAAGACAGGAGGGGAAGGAAAAGCGAAGGUCGCGACUUCGCGAGGAAGAAAAUGAAGGGAUUACUGCAGAUCACACCCUUGAUUAUUUUCGAAUAUGGAAAGCUCCAGUAACUGAAGUUUGAAAUUCCAGCCGCGUUUGUCUUUUCCUUCUUCGAGCAAACAACCGUGUUCUUGACUUGUUCUAUGUUUUUGCUGUCCGGAGGACUACCCGAUUUGCAAGUAAAUAAUGGCAUUAAUUUCAUAUAAGCACUUUAGGACACCACACUUGACAUGGUUUUCUACUGACGACGACUAUAUGGUGGCUUUGAUGUUCCAUGAAUAGAUCUUUUUAGCGGUGUUUCAAGUUCAGGUGUUAUAACAAAGCAUUACUCUUGACCUAUCUUCCCUUGCGACCAUGCUUUUUGAAUCGCCAAGUCGAGUCGAAUCGCCCCCCAACAGACUUGGAGGUUAGUAUGAUUAGUCAGAAACUAGUCUCGACUAAUCAACCCAAGUCGAGCCUAGUGAUCAGUGAGGUUUAGGGAGCUCUAGCAGGGAGCAUUAGAGGAAAGGAGUGAAUUGCAGUAGAGGGGAAGCACGAGGGAACAGUUUUUGUGGUGCUGGAGCUUGAAGAAGAGGUUCAUGGCGGCUAGGAUCUAGGAGUCGAUAAACUUAGAACGCCCGUGUUGAGGCAAACGCGUUGAGGAAGACGACUUCAAAGGUGGUUGGCUCAUUAUCAGGAUAGGUGCGUGCCUGGCAGCCCAUAAAGGCCUAUUAGAAAACCCUAACUCCCCCCUCCCCCCCCCCCCCACACACACAUUGCCUUCUUCUACACCACACACGCACCAAUGGCGGCCAUCUUCUUCCCCUUCCCUGCUGCUCCCCAUGCCUUCUCUCCCUCCCCGAAAAGAAAUAUCUUCCGAAAAUUCUUCUCUUCGAGUCAAGUUGAGGGGCUCGCGGCGUUCCUAGUCACGGCGGCUAGUCGGAGAAGUCGCGGUUCUAGCUGACGAGUCGCGCGACUUGCUCUGCUAGUCGAGUCGCGGCUGCAAGCCGCCAUCAUUGUGCUGGCUCGGCGACUAGUUGGCGAUUCAAAAACCAUGCUUGCGUCUUAUAAUUUUGUUUCCUCUUAGAUUUUUUUCAAUUAUGUAUGGAACUCUUUUAAGCUUGGCUAACAUAUUGGGUCAAUUUGUCUCCCAUUGAAAAAAAAACAAUUUCCUAUAAAAAAUAAAGUAUCCACAAAACAAUAUGCAUAGCGCAGUUGUUUUCAAAGUUGUGGAUGAAACUUUGUGUUGUACAGGCAACCACUUAAUAACUUGUUCGGUUGUAGAAUUCCCCGCAUGUAUUGAAGAGGAUUAAGAGAGAUCUAAGGAAAAUUGAUCUGCAAUUCGAUCAUUCCCUCUUAAUCCCCAUCGGAGUGGAAUCAACCGAACGGGGCUAAUGUGGACCAUAUCACCUUGAGGACUCCAUUCUUCUUUUAUGGCAACGUUGCAUGGACCUUGAUAUGAACGCACGUGCCUGCAAUCUCUAUUAUUUUUUCGUAAAUAGCAACUGUCCUUUCUGUAUCUUGUAAUAUGUUUUCUACAAUUUUAUUUGGGAUAUUUCGUCAAGAACCCAAAUCGAUUACAUUUUCCACUUUGGCGAAUGAGUCAAGAUUCUCCAUGUGUUCCAGCGAGGCAACUGCGAGCUACACAUGUAUGGUGAAACAAGCCUCGCAACUUCGUAAGUAACUCCAAAACUACAUCAGCACGUCUCUUGAACUUUGGAAACACACAGACGUGUUCCACGACCGUGAGGCGACGGAGUUAACGGGGCAGCGUUGCCGGAAAGACAAGAGUACCGUAACAAGGCCCAGACUGGGCUGCAUCGGCGUUCUGCCUCUAUUACAAGCGAGAGAUGUUGAACCGGCCAAGGUUAGGCAAGGCAGUCAGCGGGAGGAUUUUUUUUUUUUUGUUGUUGGUUUUGAAGAGGCGCGGGAGGAGAAGAACUUGCUUGACCAGCCCACAAGAUCGUGAACCGGUAUGACAUUGACAUUUUAUUUAGGGCCAGUAACGUGUAAUUAGAAGUACUAGCUUACAUCUCUUCCUUUUUGAACCGUCAGAUCUGCAACCAUAUCAUCUCUCCCCUUUGUCCUCUUCGCUAUGCCGAUUUUAGUGAAACGCCGCUGCCAAAUCUUCACAGGAUUGUGAACCGGCAGCAGCUUCGACCCUUCAAUAUUAUUAUUACAGCUAAAUAAAAGACUGAAAUUAUAGGUGAGGUCCUUUGUUCUAAUCGCCCAAGCGAGCAGAAGCCAAGAGAUUACGUGCAAGCAUAGCAUGGCCAUGUUCGCCAACUCAUGACAUAGUGGCACAGGGACUAACCACCUGGAUUACAUGGCUAGCUUCCAUAUAUGUGCAACAAAAUAUUGGUACCAGGCAGCCAUCUGUGCCACCAACCAUAAACUCCCUGAUCCCAAAAAAUACAAAAUACCAAGAGUUUCCACCCACAUCAGUACAAGUGCACAACAGUUUAAGAGACAAGCCAAGGAUCAUUCCCAGUUUGUGGGAAUAAAUAAGAGUCCGCAGCAAACAGAAAACUCAAAAUCGCUGGCAAAGUUAGGAUGUGGAAAAAAGAAAGGCUUAAAAUGAUCUAGCCAUGGCGUCAGAAUCUAUUAUCAAUGUUUCUCUCUCAAGGAUUUCCCUUCUAUAUAAAGUAUAAUAUUACAAAGGGGCUGCUUAAAUAUCAUGGACUCCUGGAAUGUAAAGAGGGUAAUAAUCAACACUACAUGAGCCUCCUUUUUCCUGAGGCUGCUUCCUAAGACUGACUGACUGCUUCCCCGAGGAUCCACAUACACCCUCCCCUCUCCUCAAGUUCCACCUCCCACCAUGGAAGUUAAACCCCCACCAUGGAUCCGAUGCUAACCAACUGUACGCGACCUGGAGAAAGUCAGUCAGCUUGGUGGUUCAAUCAAGACAGAGCAUCACGAUAUUGCCCAAAUGGUAUAAUUGGCAGGAUCAAUAAGUAGUUUAUGCUCGCAGCAAGAUCCAAAAGAACCAAUCUACCAUGACUAAUGUAUGACAAGAAUGAUGUCUUAUGUCUACUUUCAGAUACACUAUGGUCCAGGUGAAACAAUAUUUUAAAGUUUAGUAAUUACUGGCAGUAGUAGACAGACCACAGAAGUGUAAAGAUAUUUGCACACAUGACCUUUUAAUCCAAGGCUAACCCAACCUUGUAAGCUACGUGCUGUUUGUGCUAACGCUGCUGCUUGAAUGCAAUUAGACAGUGGUGAUGUCCUUGUUAGUCUGUUACAUACCUAAGGCAUCACCUCCUGAUUCUAGGUUUGCACCGGAACUCUGCUAAGAGCGCUAUGUGAUCUGAUGACCAUUCAGGUGAAGGAAGAGCAGUGUCUUUUCUUAAGCUCUCCUCAUCCAGAAGUUCCAACAAAGACUCCACGGUCAACGAAUCCGCUGAAACAAUAAAGGAAACAUGAUCAACUGACCAUAAUCAAACAUAUCACAAUACUACAAGCUGAUUCUGAAGCAAUUCCCAGAAGUCUAAAUACAGCAUACAGGUCAGGUACCUACCUGUGUAAAAUAUAUAAUCAACAGUUCCAGUGAAAUCCCUUGUGCAAUUUGUGAAAAGUGGUUCAUUUGUUCCUGGAUCCAUCCUCCUUCGCUGGUGCUCUAAAUCAUAGCCAACACCUACCAUUCUUGCAAAUGAAGAAUAUGCACUGACCUGCAAACAAGUAAACAUUGGUCAGAAUUUUAAAGGAAGAACAAGAUAGACAAGCUUGAUAGUUUUACUGUACCAGAGGAAGCUGGUGCGUCAACUUGCUCACGGGGCGUAAAAUUGAAAGUGGGUCUAUGGCCAGAUCUGGAUGCAAUUGAUCAACUUUGCCCACCGCAAGAAGCCCAUGUGGAGUACUGAAAGACAAAAGGAAGCACUUAGAGAUUUAAAGUUAGAAAAAACAAGUAAACCUGAAAAAUAUUGCUCCAAUAGAAUCUUGACAUGCACCUCCCCGGGAUUGAAUUGAAAUCCCCACAGACCAACAUUGGAAUGUCUGCACUGUUGGCUAUUUUCUCCAAUCCUUUUAGUAGUGUUUGAACCUGCAAAAAACAUACUUACUUUCGAUCUGAAUUUUUCAGAUGUUGCAGAAUGCUAGCCUACAGAGAAUGUGACAAUACUGACCUCCCAUAGUUUCACAUCUUUGAGGUCUUGGUGGACAUUUACAUGUGUAUUGGCCUGAAAUUUGAGAUCAUUUAAAAGAAUGAGACCUCCAUGACUCCAAGUAGCAUAAGCCUAGGCCGUAUGAACAAUGGGAAAUCUGUAGUAAAGUUGGCCUCAAAAUCUAGAGUCUAGAGAGCCAAGUCCCAAUCAUCCGCCAUUAACAUAUAGAUGUUUCCGUGCAUCUUAUGCUACUAAGGUCAUCCUACACAGAUAUAUGUUUCACUUCAUUCCUAAAUGUUGUGAGCAAAGAAGGAAAAGAAUCCAUAUGUUGUUCUGCACUAUGCUGCUAGCAGUUCAAUAGCUAAACAUACGGGAAAGUCCACUUUUGGCCCCUUAACUAUUGCCUCAGAUCAAAAUCAUCUAAUUUGCACCCUCAACUAUCAAAAGCAUCCAAGUUACAUCUGAAGGCAAUAUUUGUUAGAGGCUUUGUGUGAUGUGGCAUCCAUGUCAACGUGUUUUGCCACAUCAAUCGCUGCUGGGCAGUAGGGCCCACAUAUCAUGGCUGCCGUGCCCCUUCUUUCUUUAUAAUUCUUCCUCCUUAGCCAUGCCAUGGCCUCCUCUGUAGGCUAUAGCUUCCACUGCUGCUGCUACAGAUAACCCAUGUUUGACGUUGCAUAACAUCUUCUGAUUUAGAGAGGGGUAUCCUGACAGACAUGUACCAGUCUCCGCAAACCGCUGCACGGCUGCAUCCUGAGGGGAAUGGACAAAGAGAGGAUUAGAGAGGAAGGCUGAGGAGGGAGGCGUUUAGGGCGACUCCAACACGGCCACCCAAAUCGGACACAAAAAGUGUGUCCGUUUGGGUCUGCUGGUGCCCCUAACACGGUCACCCAUUUGGUCCGUUUUAUUAUUUAGUAUUGGCCACGGAUAGGCGGGCCAGGGCAAGGACAAGGGAGGACAAGCGCAGUGUCCACCCGCUGUCCGCCCAGACACAAACCCGGUCAGAUUUGGGUCGGCAAUGGGUUGAGCUGGACAGAAAAGCAGACAGCCGCCACACCGGACGAAAUGGGUCGCCGCGUUGGAGUCACCCUUAAUGCUAAGCUGGGAAAGAGGAAGGGAACAGAAAUAAGAGGAUGAGGACAAGGGAGGGAGAAAAGGGUGCUUCCAAAAAAUCAAUCCCAGGCAUGUGGGGCCUACUGCCCAGUGGAGAAUGAGAUGUCAAAGUUGCUGAUUUGGCGGCUACAUACAGAAUAUCACUCAUGAAACCAGCUUCUGGUCCUAUCGAACGGUUUCAUGAGUUGAUGGUUCAAUUUAGACCAGGCAAAAGUUGAGGGAUCAUAAUUAGGCUUUUCCAAACAUAAAUGAAUGUCAUGCUGUAAAAGUAGUGUUCGUCAUCCAGUAAACUGGUUCGAAUAUCCAACAAGCGCACAACUACUUUAUACACAUCUAAAGAAAGAACAGCUAUUUACAUACCACACAAAGGAGCUGCCUUUUACCAGGAGUUUCAGUUCCUUGGUUGCCAAAUUUUGCUUCUAAAACCGCAAUCAGCGCAAUAUUAUCCUUCAAAGCAAAUAGAACGUGUGAUAAAUAACAUCACUUUUUUUUGCGAAAAGUGAUAAAUAACAUCACUGUAGCAUACAUUAUUUCUUUUGAAGUUAAUCUUACUUUAAUCAGUCGACUUAAAGCCACUCUUUUCUGGGAAGCUGGAAUAAUAGCUUCUGUUAAAGACUGUGCAGCCUUAUUGAACUCAACCUACACAAGCAAGUACAAGUAUUAGAUAGCUGCAAAUAUCAAGCUGCUGCAAACCUGCAGUACAGGUACCUCGUAUUUUUUGACAUGUGAAAAUCUAUCUCUACGGAAGAAAGUAGCACAGCCAUCAAUGGCAUUAGGAACUCCAGCAUACACCUGUGACAACAGUAAAGUAAAAUCAAACAAGAGACAAAAGGUAUUAAACCAAAAUAUGAAGGAAAAAAUCAACCCAAAGAUACCUCUGUUGUCCGUUUCUUGUAAAGCGCCUGAUACCCAUGUUUAUCAAACUCAGGAGCAAAAAAAUCCUCAAAGUGGUUCAAUUGUACCUGAAAACAGUAGGACUUGGCUUAAUUCCCUCCUGUUACAAUCUUCGGUCACUCUUCGUUUUUAUUGUAAGCCGCUUCAGUAAACUCUUCAUAAUAUAUAUGCAGACAAUAUUCGUGAAAGUUUAAACAGCAAGCAAACUAUCAUAAAUUCAUAAUCCAACAUCACUGAAAAGUGAAAACAAUCAAACAAAGUGAUGGCACAAAUAUGGAAACGAACAGCCCAGCAGUAUAUGAAAGAUUGUAGGUUGAUGAACAGGGUUCCGGCAUUAAAGUUUACCGAGUCGCAAAAAUUAUAUGAUCAACCAAAUGAGACAUGCUCGGUUCCUAAAACAAAUAUAUGAGAUGAAAAGCUGAAAAUAGGUCACCAAAAUAAAUAAAUUCAGAAGAUAGCAAACAUAUGAUACCUCCUGAAGACAUAUAAUAUCAGCAUGAUAACCAAUAAUUUCGCGCAUCAAAUUUUGUCUUCUGUAAGUCCAUGAAAGUGCCCACGUUGGGCAGUAGCUAUAUGCAUCAGAUGUAGCAUAUGCAUCAGCAAGAAUAUUAUAGGACAGCACCGUGAAUGUCCCAAAAGAAGAAGUCUGGCUGUCUAUAUCUGAGUGACCCAAAACAUCUCCAUUCACUUGGAUAAGGCGGCGUGGAGUAGGAGUUGGUGCUGGAAUCACACGUGAUGUCAUAAUUGAAGUUGGAGACCCCGCAGGUACUUUCUUUUCCGUAUCCACCGCUGCACAUUCAAAUCUUAGAACAUGCCCAAUAUCAUCAGCAGUUGGUGUAUACGUCUGCGAGCGUCCCACUUCAAACCAUGUUUCACCCGAGUUCUUAUCAGUGCCUGAGGGAUACAAGGGAACAGGUCCAUUAUUAACUCCAGGGCUCUGUCCAAGAUUUGACAUUGAGCCAGACCCAGAACUUAGAAUCCCAGAACUACCGCUGCCAAAUCUACCAAAUAGCUCCUCCUCUUCAGCUCCAUUUUCAUUUAAAGCACUACUAGCUCGCUCAUGCAAAACCCUGUGGUGCUGCCAUGCAUCAGAGAAGCACUUAGCAGAACAAUGGUAGCUCUUAGCAGCAGGUAUUUUUGACUUGAGACAACCUAAGCACUGAAUUGUUGCUUGCUCCAUCGGAUGUACACUGCAGAUAGUAACUUUUCGAUCACUCUGUAUGCGAUACCUUCGAGCGAAAAGUCAAAUCAGUAUAACCAUGUGCUACUAGAUACAGAAAAAGUUUAGAAGAACAUGAUUGAAUAUAGUAACUACAAGAAAGGACACCUAAAUUGCCAAUGUUUUAGCAUGUAUGAGAUCCAGGAAAACUUGCUAUCAGCAUCUUGGAAGUCCAUUAUUCAGAGACAUUAGACUCACAACACUUCCAUUAUAAGCAUAGUAUGAAUAAGGCAAAAUGAAGCAGGUUGCCAAGAUGUCGCAAAAAAAAAGAAGCAAAUUACAAGUUUGCUUGUCAUGAGUUGCUGCUGCUGUUGUUUUUUCUUGAUUUUAGUCCCUCAACCGGCUAACUCGUGAUCAUUCAUCUCUUGCUUUCUUUACCAGAUCAACCAUGCAACUGAUUUCUUUAGCGGACCAGGCAAUAUAUGUAAUAAGCAAAAUUCUACAGUUUAGAUCAGAGAUUCAGAGGACUAUUGCAGGCUCUCAUAUAUCAUCAUUAGGGCAUGACGACCAGACAAGGAAGUUGCUGUGUAUAUUAUUAUUCCUAGAAGAAAAACAUUUAAGUACUGUUCAAGGAGGCGACCAACUAUAGCCCAGUGCCCACCCCAUCAAUCGAUUAGUGUCUUUCAGAACACUUCAUUUCAACAAUGUGUCUAUAAAUGGCCACACUUACUAUACUCAAACCUCAAACCUUAAAAGUGAAUAAAGAUGCACAUAUCACAUGAGAUUCUAUCAAGCUAAUGACUGAAAAGCAACACAAUGAAAAUAUAAAAAACUAUAGAAUUGAAGGACCAAAACCAAUGAAACUGCAUGAGUGUUAGUGGGACCAAGCACCACCAUUUCGAAAAGUUCUAAGGUCUAAAGUCUCAGCAAUAAAUGCUAUUUAAACCUACAUGACAUUAAAAAAACGGAUGUGAUAAAACAAAUAAAUAUUCACGAACAUGAUCAAUCAUUCAGAGCGGGAUUCUAAAAUUGAUCACUGAAAUUGUUCGGCCACCCAGCUAUUAGUGAUUAUACAGCCGAGCUAGCUCAUUGCAGUGGGUGGCAUAACCAGCGGUUACAAGUUCUUUUCUCUCAUAUUUGCCUCUCCAUUUUUCAUUUUUUUAUUUCCAAAUAGAUCUACAAUGUUAUUUGAAUUUUAAAAAUAAUAGGUAGGGCACUCCUUACAUACAUGACCUCCUAGGCCAUUUAAAACAAAUAUGCAUUGUUUGGGGUUUUUUAUAUAACAUAAAGUAAGUUAACUAUGACACACUGCCAAAAUAUUUUUGCAUAAAAAACAUUAAAUUUGAUAUAGCACAGAAAGAACGUGGAUAUCCAGCAAGAGAUUAAAGAAGGCAAAGUGGGGCAGGCAGUCAGCAAAACAAAACUAGUGGAUCACGAGUUUCAAACUUUUACUAGCUUUAAGCAACUGAAAUAACUUGCCACUGAACCUAGUGAGCCAACAACUCUAACGUGUAAUAGCAAACAAGUAAUAAUUCUUUUGAAGCUCCAGAAUAAUCAAAACUGAGUCUAGAAUCAAGCUAGAAUGCCCAUUUGAGUUCACUGGUGAUGUUAGAGUGAUACUUAGUUCAAGGAGUAUAUCCAGAUACCCCAAUCAAAAAAAUCAUCUGAAGCCAUGCGAACAAACUGAUGGCACUUCUAGAAUAGUGUCUUUCCACAAAAUUAGUUAGAUAAGCCUAUGUAAUCCCAAAAUUUAUAAAAUGCUCCCGUUCCAUCCAAGAUGAACGUAAACAUUCCUGCACAACGAUUGGCAACAAUCCUCAACCCAACAGCCUUCAUCACCAUCCUAUGAUGCUAUCUAACACUCAAUAGUUCUAGCAAAACCAAAAUCAGAUGGUCUGUUUUGCUCAAUGAAUUACUUAUUAUCAUUACCAACCCGUGUGGCAGGUUGAUAUGGCAUAGACUAAAUAGUAUGAUUCAUAAACAGGCUUAAAAUAAUGCAAUACUGAGUUCUUUACCAAAUCAAGCAUUGGCAUUUCAUGUUCCCUGGGUUUCCAUUCGUUCCAAAAACAAACAACUGUCUUGCUAGAGAAAAUCAUGCUCAGAAUUCAUAUAGUUGUGCUUCAUUUAUGCAAGAAUCAAGACGAUUCAUGAGUUUAGCAAGUAGUUAAGCAUCUAGCAAACUGAUUGAUACUUAAAGCCCCCAUUUUCUUUUUUUCUUUUUUGUCAAAAUUCACUUGUAGCAACGCACAAGCGGAACUAAGCAUUCGAAAGUGUAUAUCCUAUUGAACCAAAAGUUGCAAUCACGAGCUGCUCACUCACCAUCUGUAUCGCAUGAAGUGGCCAUCAACAGGCGCGGCCUCAGGCACGUCGUCGGUGGAGAUUACACCGUUGGGCAGCCGCAGCAGCACGUACGGGGUGAUUUCGCACCCCACGAUCGGGAUCUCCGACGGCAGGUGCACCCGCACC